UAUAAAAGCAACCUAGUUCCAGAAUUUUAAGUUAAGUAUAAUAAGUACAAAUUACUGCUAACAUUUCUCAGUGUGACUGUUUAAAUCAAAGUAUCUAAUGUAUUUUCAGAUUGCUAGUAGACUAAAGUAAUUUUAAAAAUUGUUUCUAAAUAUAAUAUUACAUGACUCUCUGACAGAUGCAAAAGUUAAGUGUUAAAAUAUUUUUUUUUAAUUUCUAAUAAUUGAAUAAGCACAUACAAGUUGUGCUUAUUCCAAAUAAAUUCCGGUUAACAGACCAAAAUGCAGUGAUAAAAGGAAGGAACCACAACACAUUGGAUAUGCCAGGAUCUCCUACAGAUAAAGACACAUCUAUUUAAUUAAAAAAAAAAAAAAAUGUCCAAUACCCAGUUCUACAUUCUAUUUUAGGCAAUUAAAUGAAAAACUUUUAUAUAUAUUUUCUGCAAAACUUAAACUAAUGAUAGGGAUAAUUUCUAUUUGAAAAACAGUACUUUAGUAUGGAAUAAAGAUUAUAUAUACAGCAUUUAAUGAUUUAAGUGCAUUUUUCUAAAAGUAUCUACUUUGGGUUAAUAUAAUUAUUUUCUAUCAAAUGGAAAAAUUGUACAGCAAAAAAAAAGAAAGAAAGAAAAAAAAAGAUAAAUAAAUAAAUUAAGAAAAUGGUAGAGAUUGUACAACUAUACUAACUUGAAAUCAGUUGAUGAAAUUUUAUAUGAUGACUUUAUAUUGCAUUAAUACAAGCAAAAUAAAAUGAUUUCUCCCUGAGUUUGAUCCUUACUUCCAAAUUUGUAGAAAUGAAUAAGGUCAAAAAGUAUUCUGACAAAGCUAAAAUGACAAAUAAAAUUGCAAAAUGAGCGAACAAAACAAAAUAAACAAAUUAAUGAACACAUGGGUAAAUGUUAUAUGUAAAACAAGAGUUCACUCCCUUUUAUCAAUACACAUGUCACAUCUGCUGGGUUUGCCAUUUCACAUAAUGUAAGUCAUGACUGCUAAUUAGAAAAUGCCAUAAUAAAAAAUCUAUUUAAUAAGAGGACAGGAGAAAAAGAUUUGAUGAAUCUGAAUGAUAAAAGAUUUUUAGAUAACUACAUACUUGCACCAAACCAAACUAUACAUUAUUCUGUUAGCACUGCUCUUACAAAUAAAUAGAAGUUUUUGACAAAAUAGACAUUAAAUUACUGCAUUAAAUUCCUGCUCAAAUGUAUUGCAUCUUUGCCUUCUACAUAAUUAUGUACAAGUCAAAUUUCAAUUUUCUUAUAUAAUUUCUACAUGUUAGUUCAACUGCAUCUUGAAUGGUAUAAUAUAUCAGAGCUUUAAACAUAUUAAUAAAAAUGCCAGUAAUAAACACGUUGACUUUACAAUCAAACAGGAAAAGUAAAGGCAUCGAAAAAUAUCACGAAAUGUUUG
rnacentral:lncRNA from 1 species